GUUUUAAAGCCGGCUCUUCUUUUCGGGGAAUGAGGAACCGAAAUUGAACCGGUUCGUCCGGUUGACGGCUGCACGUUAUUGCCCCUGCCUGCGCGCCUUCGCUCCGUUCUCCUUUGUUCCCCAAUCUCCGCCCGUCGAGUCGCUCAGCUGCUUCCGUGGCGUUGACCUCAGUUGACCUCGUCGCUUCCGCAGCAAAAGCUCCGUCUCUCGAGUCCGUUGCCCUUGAUCACCUUCGCGUCCUUAUUCUCUCUCUCUCUCUCUUUCUCUCACCAGCUUCACGGAGUUAAAAGGAGGAUCAGUGGAAGUAGGAUUGGAGAUAGUGAAUGGAGGAACUGAAGAAGGAGAAGAAGGAAGAGGAGUGGAAGUAGGUGAAGAAGAAGACAAGGAGGAGGAGGCGUGGUCGUCGGAUUCAGAAAUUUAGAACGUGUGAAAAUGGUUGGAAUUGAAAGACGAUGGAGAAGCAGUGGACAGAGCCCUUCGCUCCCAAUUCGCAACGUCCGAAUGCUCAUGGGAGGGCUUCGCAUCCGUGCCCGGUCGUCCACGCUUCAACCCCCCGUCCAAUCCGAGCCAGAAACUCUCCAGUCAUAUCCGCGCUUCCCCCUUUGGAGGAGUGGAAGUGAAGGGUGAAUCAUGAAUGUUGGCAUUUUCAACAUAGUGGCAGCUUCAAUUCGAGAAAGUGUGCGGGGAUAUGGCAAUCAGUUAAAUUAAAAGUAAUGAGAAGGCUGACUGUGCAACUGUCGAGCAGCUAAAGUACAUUUUUGGCAAAAAGAAUGAAUUGAAUGCUAAAUGUCUGGUAAAAUAUUUCCACCUAAAUUCUCCAUGCUGCAGUUUUGACAACAGGCACAGUAAGGUCUGUUUAUACUAAGAGUAAUCUGCUGCUUGGAUCAUCUCAAGACAAUAUGUCCCCUGUAGAUAUAUGUCCAUUUUGAAGAUCUAUUGGAAUUUUCAUUAAUUUCUUCAUCGACCUCCUUCCUCUUGCUUUGCACCUCUAUCCCAGGGUCAAAUCUUUUGUACUUGGCAUGAAGCAUCAUUGGUAUUGAUUUUCCAAAUUUAUCAUGCUUCAUGGAUAUAGGAUAACAAAUAUAGUUAAUUUUAUUUAAUCAUCAAAAGUUAUGAAGUUGAAACAAACCCUAUUGCAAGCUUAAUCUGUCUCUUUCCUAAAUCAUUAUUUCAGCUUGACAUGAUCAUGGCCGGGUAAACAGUUUGAUGGGUGUAUGCAUUGGUCAAUGUCCCCUCUUGUAAUUAUGUCCCAGAAGAUAGAUCACUUCUAAAAGUUAUUGCAGUUACAGUGACUCACCCCCACUCGUAAAAGUUACUAAAGCUAUGGCAGCAUCCCCUAGAAGUUCUCAUGGAAUUCUUUAUACGGUUGUGCAGGCCAUUGAUUAGAGGACUCGGAUGUUUCUCUUCAAGGUGCUCAACCAUCAAUUAUUUAAUGAUAUAAAUGGUUGCAUCUGCACUGGCAAAGAAGUGUGUUAUCAUCUACAGUGAGCGGAACUUCAUCACAUCAUUGUUGCAAAUGUCUAUCAUGCAUCAAAAUCUGACAGGCAAGAAUUGGCGAUCAAAGUUCACAAGACUUCAGUGCUCAUGUUCAAGUAGGUGUGAUAGUCUUCAGUUUUUUGCAAGGCCCCUCCACAGGUGUUUGAAAGUGCAAUACUGCAUUUACUACAUUUUUGUGACUUUAUUCUUUCUAGAAUUAACAAUUGAUAUACAGGUUCUGUUUUUUCUGAUAGCAGUCACUGCUAGAUUGUCUUGAAUGUUGGCUUAUUUUGUCGGAUACUUUUUUUUUUUCCUUAGGAGCUACUAUUAGUUCUUUUUCUUUAUUAUUUGGCUGAAAGGAGCUAUUCUUAAUUUGCAAUGUGAUUUAUCUUCAAUUCUACAAUGUCAAUUUUGUAGUGGUGUUUUGUGGAUUUAGUUUAUGGUAGGUUUCAUUUUCUCUUCCCUAUAUUCGUUAUUGUAUGAUUUUUCUUCCAUUGUGGGAUGAGACCAUGGAGACAGCCUCAUCAAUGUAAAAGAGUUACGAAUCUGAAAUCUCAGUGCUGCUCUGUGCCAAGAAAAAAAUUCUCAACCAUAUCUGCCUGACCAAUUUCUGUUCUUUCUUACAUCUUGCUCUGCUCCAAUAUAACGGGCUCUCUUGAUGCUUUUUACCCCAGCAGUGAGAACCUUUAAUUCUUCUGGGUCAAAGCCUGUCUCGUAGAGUCAUCGACGUUGAGUUGUUCUUCUGCUACCAAACGUUCUUAAUAUUAUGCUUUCUCUUUCAAUAAUAUAAGGCUCUCAUGAGGGAGGACGCUAAUGCUAUAGAAAAGCUGACCAAUCUUGGCGAUAACAUUAAACCUUGAUGUAGCGAGUCUAAGUCUGAUGCAGAUGUAGAUGAAGAUUCAGAAGGAAAUGAGUCGGCUUCACAAACUGAGGUGGAGGCUUAUGUUGACAAGAAGGCUGCUAGGAAGGAGAACAAAAGGAAGGUCAAAGAGGAAAAAAGGGAAGCGAGGAAAAACAAAGUCUCCAAGGUAGUGAAGAAAAGAAGUUGGCCAAAGCCCACGAGACUAGGUAGUCAUUGCUAGCUUGGUAUCGAUGUACAUGUUUUUUGGCAUUCGUCGAUAGAGAGAGUGAGUCGCUUGUUGGAUAAGUUCAAUUUACCAGAUGUGGUGAUGGCUUUGUACUUUUCAGCAGUAGCCCAGUUCUAGCUAAGAACAAAGCGACAGGGAUGAGUUUAUACCGUCUUGUUUGGUGUCAGGUACCGUUAUUAGAUGAUGUCGGUAUAUGAUUCCAAGGUAAAUUGUACAGCAGCUUCUGUUUUU